CAGUAGCCGCGGGAAUACGGAGGGUGCAAGCGUUAAUCGGAAUUACUGGGCGUAAAGCGCACGCAGGCGGUCUGUCAAGUCAGAUGUGAAAUCCCCGGGCUUAACCUGGGAACUGCAUUUGAAACUGGCAGGCUAGAGUCUUGUAGAGGGGGGUAGAAUUCCAGGUGUAGCGGUGAAAUGCGUAGAGAUCUGGAGGAAUACCGGUGGCGAAGGCGGCCCCCUGGACAAAGACUGACGCUCAGGUGCGAAAGCGUGGGGAGCAAACAGGAUUAGAUACCCGUGUAGUCCCUGUCUCUUAUAU
rnacentral:rRNA from 1 species